rnacentral:tRNA from 1 species
GUCGCCGUAGCUCAGAAGGAUAGAGCGCCCGCCUCCUAAGCGGAAGGUCGCAGGUUCGAAGCCUGUCGGCGACG